AGUGAACGCUGGCGGUAGGCCUAACACAUGCAAGUCGAACGGCAGCACAGUAAGAGCUUGCUCUUACGGGUGGCGCGUGGCGGACGGGUGAGGAAUACAUCGGAAUCUACUUUUUCGUGGGGGAUAACGUAGGGAAACUUACGCUAAUACCGCAUACGACCUACGGGUGAAAGCAGGGGAUCUUCGGACCUUGCGCGAUUGAAUGGGCCGAUGUCGGAUUAGCUAGUUGGCGGGGUAAAGGCCCACCAAGGCGACGAUCCGUAGCUGGUCUGAGAGGAUGAUCAGCCACACUGGAACUGAGACACGGUCCAGACUCCUACGGGAGGCAGCAGUGGGGAAUAUUGGACAAUGGGCGCAAGCCUGAUCCAGCCAUACCGCGUGGGUGAAGAAGGCCUUCGGGUUGUAAAGCCCUUUUGUUGGGAAAGAAAAGCAGCAGGUUAAUACCCCGCUGCUCUGACGGUACCCAAAGAAUAAGCACCGGCUAACUUCGUG
rnacentral:rRNA from 1 species